CGGGAUGGCUCUCUAUCCUAUCAAUCUGGGAGAAGCUCGGAUGUCUCCAAGGCUGCUAAUGAGUCUACUAUUGUCGGAUACCUUAGGCGCUGAUACUACAGGUGGGAGUCAUCUACUGUAGAAGCUCGAAUGGAGACUUUCUAUUGGUGAAGUCUGGUAGGAAUCUGAUUGCUAGAGAAGUCUGUCUGAGAUUCGCCUGAUGUGGAAGCUCGUC
rnacentral:lncRNA from 1 species